rnacentral:rRNA from 1 species
AUUGAACGCUGGCGGCAGGCCUAACACAUGCAAGUCGAACGAGUGGCGGACGGGUGAGUAAUGUAUGGGAACCUGCCUGAUGGAGGGGGAUAACUACUGGAAACGGUAGCUAAUACCGCAUACCAUCAGAUGUGCCACGAUGGGAUUAGCUUGUGGGUGGGGUAACGGCUCACCAAGGCGACGAUCCCUAGCUGGUCGGAGAGGAAGACCGGCAACACGGGAACUGAGACACGGCCCAGACUCCUACGGGAGGCAGCAGUGGGGAAUAUUGCACAAUGGGCGCAAGCCUGAUGCAGCCAUGCCGCGUGUAUGAAGAAGGCCUUCGGGUUGAAAAGUACUUUCAGCGGGGAGGCGUUACCCGCAGAAGAAGCACCGGCUAACUCCGUGCCAGCAGCCGCGGUAAUUC